GGGGAUAUGGCGAAAUUGGUAGACGCUACGGACUUAAAAUCCGUCGACUUUAGAAAUCGUGAGG
rnacentral:tRNA from 2 species